CGAUUGUAUCCGGUAUCUCGUUCUUUCGGUCACGACCCAUAGCUCGUGACCAUAGAUGAGGGUUGGGAAGUAGAUCGACCGGUAAAUUGAGAGCUUCACCCUUUCUCUCAGCUCCUUCUUUACCGCAACAGACCGAUACAACGUCUGCAUCACAGCAAUAAAUCAUCAAUACACUUAAAUUCAAGCUUAGUCAUUGUCUGACCGCUUUAUUCAUCUUGUAAUUGUUUCAUAUUUAUCAAUUAUUCAAAAAAAAAAAUACCAUCGCCUUUCAUCCUAUCCAGCUGUAUGAUGGGCAUGCCAAAAGAGGAUUUCUUUCAUAAACGACCUUGUAACUACACUCAGUCCUGAGCCGCUGACACUCCCUAGGCCAGGAAGUGGGUUUGUGAUCACACACGCAGUAGGAGCCAAAGUUGUGGCAAUAACACUUAUCACAGCCUCUUCUGAAUGAAUCGCCGGGCUUGUAGUACUUGUUCUUAUAAGAACACAUACCUGAAAACCAAAAUAUGGAAGCCUCUGUGCAGCCAUUGCUCAAAAGAAGAAUGAGGGGCAAGCCGGAAACAAACACAAAAACAAAGGAGCAUCAUGGCAAUGGGAAUAUUACCCAUU